UUGGCGGACGGGUGAGUAACGCGUGGGUAACCUGCCGUAUGCAGGGGGAUAACACUUAGAAAUAGGUGCUAACACCGCAUAAGCGCACGAGAGCGCAUGCUUUUGUGUGAAAAACUCCGGUGGCAUACGAUGGACCCGCGUCUGAUUAGCCAGUUGGCAGGGUAACGGCCUACCAAAGCGACGAUCAGUAGCCGGCCUGAGAGGGCGGACGGCCACAUUGGGACUGAGACACGGCCCAAACUCCUACGGAAGGCAGCAG
rnacentral:rRNA from 1 species